UCAAAUGUAACUUAAGUUAAAGUUUAAGAUUCUUACUCUUACUAUGUUUAUAAAAACCAUUUGAA
rnacentral:tRNA from 1 species